GAUGAACGCUGGCGGCGUGCCUAAUACAUGCAAGUCGAGCGAACAGACGAGGAGCUUGCUCCUCUGACGUUAGCGGCGGACGGGUGCGUAACACGUGGAUAACCUACCUAUAAGACUGGGAUAACUUCGGGAAACCGGAGCUAAUACCGGAUAAUAUAUUGAACCGCAUGGUUCAAUAGUGAAAGACGGUUUUGCUGUCACCUAUAGAUGGAUCCGCGCCGCAUUAGCUAGUUGGUAAGGUAACGGCUUACCAAGGCAACGAUGCGUAGCCGACCUGAGAGGGUGAUCAGCCACACUGGAACUGAGACACGGUCCAGACUCCUACGGGAGGCAGCAGUAGGGAAUCUUCCGCAAUGGGCGAAAGCCUGACGGAGCAACGCCGCGUGAGUGAUGAAGGUCUUCGGAUCGUAGAACUCUGUUAUUAGGGAAGAACAAAUGUGUAAGUAACUAUGCACGUCUUGACGGUACCUAAUCAGAAAGCCACGGCUAACUACGUG
rnacentral:rRNA from 1 species